GACGAACGCUGGCGGCGUGCCUAAUACAUGCAAGUGGGACGCAAGGGAACACACUGUGCUUGCACACCGUGUUCUCUUGAGUCGCGAACGGGUGAGUAACGCGUAGGUAACCUGCCUAUUAGCGGGGGAUAACUAUUGGAAACGAUAGCUAAUACCGCAUAAUAUUAAUUAUUGCAUGAUAAUUGAUUGAAAGAUGCAAGCGCAUCACUAGUAGAUGGACCUGCGUUGUAUUAGCUAGUUGGUAAGGUAAGAGCUUACCAAGGCGACGAUACAUAGCCGACCUGAGAGGGUGAUCGGCCACACUGGGACUGAGACACGGCCCAGACUCCUACGGGAGGCAGCAGUAGGGAAUCUUCGGCAAUGGACGAAAGUCUGACCGAGCAACGCCGCGUGAGUGAAGAAGGUUUUCGGAUCGUAAAGCUCUGUUGUAAGUCAAGAACGUGUGUGAGAGUGGAAAGUUCACACAGUGACGGUAGCUUACCAGAAAGG
rnacentral:rRNA from 1 species